UAUGAUUAUUUGAUGAGUGUUAUUCUUUCAAUAUUAUGAUCUAUCAUAUGCUUGCUUUUUAAUCCUAUCUCCACUGCUACAUGUUACAUGUAACACAUGAAUUAAAAUAUCUUUAUUCAAGGUUGUAAUGAGAUUGUGGUUAAGGUGAGGUAAAUAAAGGUAAAGAAAAUGUUAAAUAACCAAAUAAUCUAUUUACAACAUGAAAAUGAUGAACUCAACAACAUUUAAUCAUUAGAGUACACAUAUUCAUCAUUAUAAAAGCAUAAAUACUUCAGUUCUUUUGAUUUCAAAUCCCCACAAUAUAUUCUCAUUAAACUCACAAAGAGAAUUUGUUUUCUUUUAUUUCUUUUAUCACUAACAUGUUUUGGAUUUUUUAUUUUAAUUUUUUAAUUGAUUUGGCCAAAAUUGAUCAUACUCAAACUCAACGCAAAAAUCCAUCAAAUAACUACUUUUUCUCAGAAUAUCUAACCAUAAACCCAUAUAAACAUAACACAUAUGUUCUACUAGUCUUUUGGCUAGAAAAAAGAAAACAUAUAAAAAGUUAAGUCUUAUAAACAUAGGUAAAGCAAAGAAAAGAUAAAUAAGAGCUCAUUAAUAGAUAACAUACUUUAGGUUGCUUUUUAGAUUCAAAAUAGUUAAAUUCCUACAUGCCUUUAUCAUGUUCAUGCAUACAUGUAAUGUCAAUGUAGUCUCUAUAAGACAUUAAACAAGUUCUGGAAAUACAUAACUUUUGAAUGAAUAAAGACCAUUUGAUUCAUGUGUGCCAUGUAAUACUUAGUAAUGAAGAUAAGAUUGAAGAGCAAGC
rnacentral:lncRNA from 1 species